CUUUUGCAAUAAAAUAUUGUCUUUUUCAGGGUUACUAUAUGAGAAAAAAAUAUUCUGAAGGUCUCCGGCCUUUGCAUGGCAUUAAAUGUCAUUACAAGAUGAAAGGGAAGUUGCAUCUGAGGGCAAAUACUUUCAUUAUUACUACAGUUGGUCUGCUUCCAAAUUUCUCUAACUGUUGAAGUCUUCCCAUCUCCACUGUGACUCUGAAAAUGGUUUAGGUUUCAAUUGCCCUGGAGAAAAGUGAGUAUAAGGUUUGAGAAAAAAGAUGAUGCUGUGUCUGAGUGGGCCAUCUUGUGUCUCCAACAGAAGAACAUUUAUUCGUUUUUCUCUUCAGCUACCUCACGUAUGAGCUGGUUCAGAUAUCUGCUGAAGCGGAAAGCUGUAAGACGCAUUUUAUAAAGAAGGAUGAGCAAGAACAUCACAAAUUCUACUCACGACCAAAAUUCAUAUAAAUACUGCUGCUUACAAAUAUGGGAGAAAAAGUGUUUUGCAGGUUAUUGUUCAAAUUUAUGCUACUGUAUUGCUUCAGACAGUUCUGACACACAAUUAAUUUUGCAGCUAACUAAUAAAAUGAAGGAAAGGUCCUUGUCCUUUACCAUGUCUGCUACAAUAUAUCAUUUUUUUCUCAUUAUUUUAUUAUAAGUCUCACAUUAUCUGGGAUUUUAAAUGCCACAUUUCGCAGAAAUAUGAAUAUAAACACACAGUCUUAGGUAGUGUCAAUUCUGAGUAAACCAAAUGUCUCUGCUCUUAGACUUAUAAAAAUAGGCUGGAAAAUAUAAGCUCCAAAAGCUGAGAAAGCUACAAAGCAAAUAAAACUCAUCCAUGAAUUCAGUUUUUUAAAUUGCCCGAUCUUUUGGAUGAUUGAAGUGGUACUAUGGAAAAAAUAAUCUAUUUUUGCAGGUAAGCAAAAGAGUUCCAGGCAAGAUUAUGGCUUUUACUAUUGUCUAGACAAGACAGUGAGAGUAACUGCUUUUCUGCCUGUUUGUGGUUGCCCAGACAUUGGGUCUAAGCAUCUCUCUCAUAUUUUCAUCAUAGCAGGUGGAGCUGAAAUGGGCAGCACCUUGGCUCUCCCCAUCCUGCUCCCUAUCCAGAACAACAGAGCCGGCAGCAGGUGUCUGUUUUUACUGCUGGUACGGAUCCAAAGCAGGCUGCCGUCAACAUCUCAGAGAAUAUGUAGAAGGAGAUAAAUGAACCAGGAGGGUUUCUGCAAAUUACAGUACCUGAAGGACUGCUGCUAGUAGAUACGACUUUAGAAACCCAAUACAGCCUCAGCAACUUGAACCAGGCCACAGGCUCUACAGCGCUGUGAGCAAGGAGCCUCGUUUAAUGAAGGGUAUGUGUUCAAAACUGGGACGUCUGCAAAGGUUUUGAAUCUUUAGGAAUCGCUGCUUCCAGCUUACAUCCGUAACACAAAAACCACAAAUGUGACGUACCGCAAGUAGAAGGUGAGAUUGUCAUGACUUCAUGAGCAAAACCACCAGGUAAGACAGGACAAAAACAUCAGAAAAGGUACCACAAAACCCCUGUGAGACUGAGCAAUGGCAGUAGUGCCAGCUCUAGCACCUCAGCAUUUCACUUAGCUAAGCCAAGGCACCGAAAUACACGCACAAGUACCAGUUACUUAAUUCUUCACCUCUGAUGCCGCAUAGUCAUGUGUA